GAAAAUAACUUCAUAGUGUCCACAUAAAUUUCCUUCGUCUUUAUCUGCUUGUUCUCUGACAGCAGUUUCCCCAAAUGACACAGAACCUGU